UGAAUACGAGACGCUAAGGCGUUGAAGUAGUGUAUGUCAUACUUCCAAGAAAAGCUUGCACUGUCAUAGAUAAAAAACGCCUGUACCAUAACCGACACAGGUGGGUAGGUAGAGUAUACUAAGGGGCGCGAGAUAACUCUCUCUAAGGAACUCGGCAAAAUAACUCCGUAACUUCGGGAGAAGGAGUGCCUUAUUUAUAAGGCUGCAAUAACAAGAUCCAAGCAACUGUUUAUCAAAAACACAGGUCUCCGCUAAGUCGUAAGACGAUGUAUGGGGGCUGACGCCUGCCCAGUGCCAGAAGGUUAAAGAAGUUGGUUAGCAAUAGCGAAGCUGAUAACUGAAGCCCUGGUGAACGGCGGCCGUAACAAUAACGGUCCUAAGGUAGCGAAAUUCCUUGUCGGGUAAGUUCCGACCCGCACGAAAGGCGUAAUGAUUUGGAUACUGUCUCGGAGAGGGGCUCGGUGAAAUAGACUUGUCUGUGAAGAUGCGGACUACCUGCACCAGGACAGAAAGACCCUAUGAAGCUUUACUGUAACUUGAAAUUGAAAUUGGACUUUAUUCGCGCAGUAUAGGUGGGAGGCGUUGAUUGUAAUCUUGCGGGAUUAUUGGAGCCAUCAGUGAGAUACCACCCUUGUAAUGUUAGAUUUCUAACUUUGAAUCAUUAUCUGGUCAAAGAACAGUUUCAGGCGGGCAGUUUGACUGGGGCGGUCGCCUCCUAAACGGUAACGGAGGCGUACAAAGGUUUCCUCUGAACGGUUAGAAAUCGUAUCUAGAGUGUAAAGGCAUAAGGAAGCUUGACUGUGAGACCUACAAGUCGAGCAGGGACGAAAGUCGGUCUUAGUGAUCUGACGGUACUGAGUGGAAAGGCCGUCACUCAACGGAUAAAAGUCACUCUAGGAUAACAGGCUGAUCUCCCCCAAGAGUUCACAUCGACGGGGAGGUUUGGCACCUCGAUGUCGGCUCAUCGCAUCCUGGGGCGGUAGUACGUCCCAAGGGUUGGGCUGUUCGCCCAUGAAAGCGGUACGCGAGCUGGGUUCAGAACGUCGUGAGACAGUUCGGUCCAUAUCCGGUGUAGGCGUUAGAAUAUUGAGAGGAGCCUUCUUUAGUACGAGAGGACCGAGAAGGACAUACCUCUGGUGUACCAGUUAUCGUGCCAACGGUAAACGCUGGGUAGCUAUGUAUGGAGUGGAUAACCGCUGAAAGCAUCUAAGUGGGAAGCCCACCUCAAGAUAAG
rnacentral:rRNA from 1 species